rnacentral:rRNA from 1 species
GACGAACGCUGGCGGCGUGCUUAACACAUGCAAGUCGAACGAAAAGAGGGAAAGAGCUUGCUCUUUCCGGAGUUGAGUGGCAAACGGGUGAGUAACACGUAAACAACCUGCCUUCAGGAUGGGGACAACAGACGGAAACGACUGCUAAUACCGAAUAAGUUCCAAGGGCCGCAUGGCCCAUGGAAGAAAAGGUGGCCUCUACCUGUAAGCUAUCGCCUGAAGAGGGGUUUGCGUCUGAUUAGCUGGUUGGAGGGGUAACGGCCCACCAAGGCGACGAUCAGUAGCCGGUCUGAGAGGAUGAACGGCCACACUGGAACUGAGACACGGUCCAGACUCCUACGGGAGGCAGCAGUGGGGAAUCUUCCGCAAUGGGCGAAAGCCUGACGGAGCAACGCCGCGUGAGUGAUGACGGCCUUCGGGUUGUAAAACUCUGUGAUCCGGGACGAAAAGGCAGAGUGCGAAGAACAAACUGCAUGA